CGGCCGCGGCGCUGAACGCGGUGGACCGGCGCUCGCUACAGCGCUCUGCUCGGCUCGGGAGGGAAGUAUUGGAGCGCGCCAAGAGAAGGGCUGUGGACUGGCAUUCUCCAGAGCGAUCCAGAGGCUGCGUGGGGGUCCUUUACGGCCAGGACCCCUACCAGGAACGAUGAGAGAAGAAAGGCGCCCAACCCUUAGUACUUCCUUCAGGACAAUGGCAGAAUUCAUGGACUAUACUUCAAGUCAGUGUGGGAAAUACUACUUGUCUACACCGGAGGAAGGAGGGGCAACCCACGUCUACCGUUAUCACAGAAGGAAGCCUGCAGAAGUGCACGUGUGCUCAGACUCGGGGCACAGGGAAGCGCAAAGAAACUGCAGAGGAGAGACAUCUGUUGGUCCAGGAAGCAUCUAUCAAACAUCAGAGCAUUCUCAAGAGUCAUCUUGGCCUAUUGAGAACAUCUCUAAGGACCUCUACAUAGAAGUCUAUCCAGGGACCUAUUCUGUCACUGUGGGCUCAGGUGCCUUA
rnacentral:lncRNA from 1 species